AUUGAACGCUGGCGGCAGGCUUAACACAUGCAAGUCGAACGAGUGGCGGACGGGUGAGUAAUGUCUGGGAAACUGCCCGAUGGAGGGGGAUAACUACUGGAAACGGUAGCUAAUACCGCAUACCAUCGGAUGUGCCCAGAGGGGAUUAGCUAGUAGGUGGGGUAACGGCUCACCUAGGCGACGAUCCCUAGCUGGUCUGUGAGGAUGACCAGCCACACUGUAACGGAGACAGGGUCCAUACUCCUACGGGAGACAGCGGUGGGGAAUAUGGCACAAUGGGCGCAAGUCUGAGUCAGCCAUGCCGCGUGUAUGAAGAAGUCCUUCGGGUUGUAAAGUACUUUCAGCGAGGAGGCGUUACUCGCAGAAGAAGCACCGGCUAACUCCGUGCCAGCAGCCGCGGUAAUAC
rnacentral:rRNA from 1 species